rnacentral:rRNA from 1 species
GAUGAACGCUAGCGGCAGGCCUAACACAUGCAAGUCGAGGGAGAGGUUACCUUCGGGUAACCAAAACCGGCGCACGGGUGCGUAACGCGUAUACAAUCUGCCUUUCACAUAGGGAUAGCCCGAAGAAAUUUGGAUUAAUACCUAAUGGUAUAUAAGAGCGGCAUCGUUUUUAUAUUAAAGUUACGGUGGUGAAAGAUGAGUAUGCGUUCUAUUAGCUAGUUGGAGAGGUAACGGCUCCCCAAGGCGACGAUAGAUAGGGGUUCUGAGAGGGAUGUCCCCCACACUGGUACUGAGAUACGGACCAGACUCCUACGGGAGGCAGCAGUGAGGAAUAUUGGACAAUGGUCGGAAGACUGAUCCAGCCAUGCCGCGUGCAGGAUGAAGGUCCUAUGGAUUGUAAACUGCUUUUGUAAGGGAAGAAUAAGGAGUACGUGUACUUUGAUGACGGUACCUUACGAAUAAGCAUCGGCUAACUCCGUG